GUCAUGCCCAGUUCUGGGGUCUCAGGAGGCAGCGCUCCCGGGAAGUCUUCACCAUGGCCUGGACUCUGCUCCUCCUCACCCUCCUCACUCAGGGCACAGGGUCCUGGGCUCAGUCUGCCCUGACUCAGCCUCGCUCAGUGUCCGGGUCUCCUGGACAGUCGGUCACCAUCUCCUGCACUGGAACCAGCAGUGAUGUUGGGUAUUAUAAUGCUGUGUCUUGGUACCAGCAGCACCCAGGCACAGCCCCCAAACUCAUGAUUUAUUAUGUCAGCAAUCGGCCCUCAGGGGUCCCUAAUCGCUUCUCUGGCUCCAAGUCUGGCAACACGGCCUCCCUGACCAUCUCUGGGCUCCAGGCUGAGGACGAGGCUGAUUAUUACUGCAGCUCGUAUGGAGGCAGCUACACUUGGGUGUUCGGCGGAGGGACCAAGCUGACCGUCCUAGGUCAGCCCAAGGCCACCCCCACGGUCACUGUGUUCCCGCCCUCCACUGAGGAGCUCCAAGCCAACAAGGCCACAUUGGUGUGCCUCAUAAGUGACUUCUACCCGGGAGCCGUGACAGUGGACUGGAAGGCAGAUGGCAACAGCGUCAGGGAUGGAGUGCAGACCACCAAACCCUCCAAACAGAGCAACAACAAGUACGCGGCCAGCAGCUACCUGAGCCUCACGCCGCAGCAGUGGAAGUCCCGCAGCAGCUACAGCUGCCACGUCACGCACGAGGGGAAAACUGUGGAGAAGACAGUGGCCCCUUCAGGAUGUUCUUAGGCCCCCAACCCUCACCCCACCCACGGGGCCUGCAGCUGCAGAAUCCCAGGGGAGGGGUCUCUCCCCCAAUCCCAAGUCAUCCAGCCCUUCUCCCUGCACCCAGUAAACCCUCAAUAAAUGUCCUCACUGUCAACCAGAAA